GACGAACGCUGGCGGCGUGCCUAAUACAUGCAAGUCGAACGCAGUGGGGACGGGUGAGUAACAAGUGGGUAACCUCCCCAUCAGAGGGGAUAACACCUGGAAACAGGUGCUAAACCGAAAGUGAGGGAUGGACCCGCGGUGCCUUAGCUAGUUGGUGGGGGAACGGCUCACCAAGGCCACGAUGCAUAGCCGACCUGAGAGGGUGAUCGGCCACACUGGGACUGAGACACGGCCCAGACUCCUACGGGAGGCAGCAGUAGGGAAUCUUCGGCAAUGGACGAAAGUCUGACCGAGCAACGCCGCGUGAGUGAAGAAGGUUUUCGGAUCGUAAAACUCUGUUGUUAGAGAAGCGGUAUCUAACCAGAAAGCCACGGCUAACUACGUGCCAGCAGCCGCGGUAAUAC
rnacentral:rRNA from 1 species